CGUCUAUAUCUAUUUUUAUUGUUAAAAACUGGUUUGGAUGGUAAAAUAACCAGACAGUGUCACGUGUACUUCAUUUUGAUAUACAAAUAUCAGUUUUUAACAAUAGAAUUGAAUGAAACUUUUAACA
rfam:Gossypium raimondii Chr04_contig_25, whole genome shotgun sequence.